CUGGUGGCGAGCGGCGGACGGGUGAGUAAUGCAUAUAAAUCUGCCCGGGAGUGGGGGAUAACCUGGGGAAACCCAGGCUAAUACCGCAUACGUCCUACGGGAGAAAGCAGGGGAUCUUCCGACCUUGCGCUAUCGAAUGAAUCUAUGUCUGAUUAGCUUGUUGGUGAGGUAAUGGCUCACCAAGGCAACCAUCCGUAGCUGGUCUGAAAGGAUGAUCAGCCACAUCGGGACUGAGACACGGCCCGAACUCCUACGGGAGGCAGCAGUGGGGAAUAUUGGACAAUGGGCGAAAGCCUGAUCCAGCCAUGCCGCGUGUGUGAAGAAGGCCUUCGGGUUGUAAAGCACUUUCAGUGGGGAAGAAAGCCUUGGGGCUAAUACCCUCGAGGAAGGACAUCACCCACAGAAGAAGCACCGGCUAACUCCGUGCCAGCAGCCGCGGUAAUACGGAGGGUGCGAGCGUUAAUCGGAAUUACUGGGCGUAAAGCGCGCGUAGGCGGUCUGAUAAGCCGGUUGUGAAAGCCCCGGGCUCAACCUGGGAACGGCAUCCGGAACUGUCAGGCUAGAGUGCAAGAGAGGAAGGUAUAAUUCCCGGUGUAGCGGUGAAAUGCGUAGAGAUCGGGAGGAAUACCAGUGGCGAAGGCGGCCUUCUGGACUGACACUGACGCUGACGUGCGAAAGCGUGGGUAGCAAACAGGAUUAGAUACCCUGGUAGUCCACGCCGUAAACGAUGUCGACUAGCCGUUGGGCUCCUUGAGAGCUUUGUGGCGCAGUUAACGCGAUAAGUCGACCGCCUGGGGAGU
rnacentral:rRNA from 1 species